rnacentral:rRNA from 1 species
UACGAAGGGUGCAAGCGUUACUCGGAAUUACUGGGCGUAAAGGGUGCGUAGGUGGUUCUUUAAGUCUGCUGUGAAAGCCCCGGGCUCAACCUGGGAAUGGCAGUGGAUACUGGAGAGCUAGAGUGCGGUAGAGGCAGAUGGAAUUCCGGGUGUAGCGGUGGAAUGCGUAGAGAUCCGGAAGAACACCGGUGGCGAAGGCGGUCUGCUGGGCAGUUGCUGACACUGAGGCGCGACAGCGUGGGGAGCAAACAGG